GAUGAAGAACGCAGCGAAAUGCGAUACUUGGUGUGAAUUGCUGAAUCCCGUGAACCAUCGAGUCUUUGAACGCAAGUUGCGCCUCAAGCCAUUAGGUUGAGGGCACGUCUGCCUGGGCGUCACAUAUCGUUGCCUGAUGCCAGUUUCCUCGUGAUGGGUGACUGUGCAGGGCGAAUGAUGGCUUCCCGUGAGCAUUGUUGCCUCAUGGUUGGUUGAAAAUUGAGUCCUUGGUAGGGAGCGCCGUGAUAGAUGGUGGUUGAGUGACGAACGAGACCCAAUCAUGUGAGACCCCUACCGAAUUUGGCAUUCAUGACCCACAUGCGUCUUUGGAACGCUCAUGACGAGACCUCAGGUCAGGCGGGGCUACCCGCUGAGUUUAAGCAUAUCAAUAAGCGGAGGA
rnacentral:misc_RNA from 1 species